CGCCUUUACAUUUCAGAUCCAAUAAUCAAAUCAAAUCACCUGAUUCGAUGUGCGCUGAAAAAUUUAGGUAUAAAAGAAAAAAACACCCCGCUACAUUCGGUUUGCAAAAGUUCCACUUUACAAUGAAAUUUUUCCUUGUGUUCGUAUUAAUAAUGGCUCUGGCAAUGAAUACUAUUUCUGCAUUACCAGAUCCAGAAGCACGUAGAUCGAAGCAAAAACCUCUGGGUAAGGACUAUUCUAAGCCUUGGUGGUGGGGAUAAAGAAGCACAUAGAGUGAACAAACCAUGAUAUGAGUUCAUCAAAAUAUGAUUUUACAGACAAAAAAAUAGAAAUAAAUUGCUGUAUUUCUUCACGAUAA